UGCCAGAGCCAUACCACCCUGCGGCUCAAGACUGAAGCUAAGCAGGGCUGAGCCUGGUCAGUACCUGGAUGGGAAUUCACAUGGGAAAACUCGGUUGCUGUUGAAA
rnacentral:rRNA from 1 species